rnacentral:rRNA from 1 species
AUGUUCCAACUCCGACCGCGUGUUCUCUCUUUCCUCGUCCACUCACCACCCCGUCUCCCCGCCUCCCGCGUCAAUCCCCUCUCCGCCCUUCGCCGCAACCUCUCCGCCACCACAUCCGCUUCACCAAGCCCUUUCGCCGCCGAGGACUACCUCGUCGCCACCUGCGGCGUCUCCCGCGCCCAAGCCGUCAAGGCAGCGAAGAAGAUCUCCCACCUCAAGUCCUCCUCCAAGCCCGACGCGGUCGUCGCCUUCCUCUCCGGCCUCGGCGUCCCCCGCUCCGACAUCGCCGCCAUCGUCGCCGUCGACCCGUGGUUCCUCUGCGCCAGCGUGGAGAGGACCCUGGCGCCCCGCGUCACCGAGCUGAGGGAGCUCGGCCUCUCGCGCUCCGAGGUCGCGCGCCUCGUCCCGCUCGCCCUCUGCUCCUUCCGCAGCAGCUCCCUCAGGGGCAACCUCGACUUCUGGCUCUCGGUCUUCGGCUCCUACGAGAAGCUCCUCAAGGCCCUCAAGAUGAACUCCGGCCUCCUCGCCGCCGACCUCGAGAAGGUGGCCAAGCCGAAUCUGGCCCUCCUCCGGCAAUGCGGGCUAAGUCCCUCCGUCUUCUCGGAGCCCUUCAUUUCCCGGGUGCUCAUCAGGACCCCCAAGAAAGUCCAGGACGCUUUGGUGCACAUUGACAAGUUUGGGGUGUCGCAGAACUCGCGGAUGUUCCUCUACGCGCUUGUGGCCUUCACCGUCCAGAGCCCGGAGAAGCUCACCGACAAAAUCAGAGUCCUCGAGACGCUUGGUUGGUCGCAGGGCGAUGUGCUGUUAGCUGUGAAGACGAUGCCGGGUAUCCUGACCAUAUCCGAGGAGAGGCUGCAGAAAAAUGUGCAUUUCCUCACAAAGGUUGCUGGGCUGGAGAUAUCAUACAUUGCUCAAAGGCCGGUGCUGCUCAAGUAUAGCCUUGAGCGCCGUUUGUUUCCUAGGUACUGCUUGCUUAAGCUACUCAACACGAAGGGGUUGCUGGAUCUUCGAUUUGAUUACAAUGCCGCCUCGCUGUCCGAGAAGAAGUUUCUUGGCAGGUUCGUGCAUCCUUACAAGGAGAGUCUUCCAGGCCUUGCUGAUGUUUAUGCUUCUAGCUGUGCUGGGAAACUACAGAUGGAGUUGCUAUCAGAGAACACAAAACAAAACUAG